rnacentral:rRNA from 1 species
UACAGAGGUCUCAAGCGUUGUUCGGAUUCAUUGGGCGUAAAGGGUGCGUAGGCGGCGCGGUAAGUCGGGUGUGAAAUCUCGGGGCUUAACCCCGGAACUGCCUCUGAAACUGCAGUGCUAGAAUCUUGGAGAGGCGAGUGGAAUUCCGAGUGUAGAGGUGAAAUUCGUAGAUAUUCGGAAGAACACCAGUGGCGAAGGCGACUCGCUGGACAAGUAUUGACGCUGAGGUGCGAAAGCGUGGGGAGCAAACAGG